CUACGGAGGAUGCGAGCGUUAUCCGGAUUUAUUGGGUUUAAAGGGAGCGUAGGUGGGAUAUUAAGUCAGCUGUGAAAGUUUGGGGCUCAACCUUAAAAUUGCAGUUGAUACUGGUUUCCUUGAGUACGGUACAGGUGGGCGGAAUUCGUGGUGUAGCGGUGGAAUGCUUAGAUAUCACGAAGAACUCCGAUCGCGAAGGCAGCUCACCGGGCCGGAACUGACACUGAUGCUCGAAAGUGCGGGUAUCAAACAGGAUUAGAUACCCUGGUAGUCCGCACAGUAAACGAUGAAUACUCGCUGUUUGCGAUACACGGUAAGCGGCCAAGCGAAAGCGUUAAGUAUUCCACCUGGGGAGUACGCCGGCAACGGUGAAACUCAAAGGAAUUGACGGGG
rnacentral:rRNA from 1 species